rnacentral:tRNA from 1 species
GUCCGGGUGGUGGAAUUGGUAGACACGCUACUUUGAGGGGGUAGUGGGCGAAAGCCUGUGUGAGUUCGAAUCUCAUCUCGGACA